AUCACUUCUCAGUCUUUUGGCUAAUAUCAAGUGUAGUAUCUGUUUUUAUCAGCUUAAUAUCUGAUAUAUCCUCUACCUGAGGACAGUGUAUCAAAUGGAUUUUUUUUUUUUUUUGAUCAGGGAGUUGGAAUAGGAGCUUGCUCUAUCCUCUCCAUGCAGUGAUCUGAUAUAGUACUGCACCCCCU
rnacentral:snRNA from 1 species